GGGAGAUCCUGCGCCCUCCUCCAGGAGGCCGCUCCGCCCCAGCAGUGCCUCGGCUCCGACCUGGCCGUCUCCUCCCGUGGGCUCGCCCGCCGGAAACAAGGCGUGUAACCGUUGUAGGGUCCUGAUAUGUUUUGGGUGGCAUCUUGCGUAAGGCCAGGCCCACCACGGACGCCGUUGUUCAGGACAUCAUCGACAUUGGCGUCCAAAGGAAAUGUCCCCUGACUGCUUGCACCAUAUGUACCACGAGUUCCGCUGCGAUGUCGAGACGACACUAUCUUGCUGCUAAGCCCUGGACGACUAGGACUUCCUCCAGCAGAACUGGCAUCACUAUCAAGUACGGCUGGGUCGAUGUAAUAUCCACCCCUGGUGCUUUGGUAUGAUAUGCUUGCUGCACAUGCUCAUCUCUUUGUGUGUAUUAUCUUCUUGCCAAAUGGGAGCAAAUACCUUAAGAUUCUAGUCGAAAAUUUUGCUACAAACAUAUUUGUCUCUUACUGCUUGUACAUUACGACAAUGCUCAUAUCUCUUGAGGCAACCAAGCAUGGAUGUACUGCUCUCUCAUCUGUCUAUCCAGAUUUUAUUUUCACAUGUAGUUUGCAGAUGCCUAGAGAGAGCACUAGUGUUGGUGUUUCUUGCAAAUACAAAUUCUUGGUUGUACAUCCAUGCUUCUUACCUCUGUUUUUAUUGGCUGAAUGUUGUUGAUGUAUUUUAGUGCAUACUUUCUCAUAACGAAAGCAUGCAAACCUGACUUGUUUCAUUUUUGUUAGACAAGUAACAAUUUUCAGCUCAUGAACUUAGCAGAAUUUCCUAUUUGAUGAAAAUAGCGGCGGCAUCGUGUCUGGCCGGUCGGCGGCGGCGGCUUCGUGUCUGGCCGGUCGGCGGAGGCAGCAGGGCUGAGCUCGUGCUCCAGACUAUGGAGUUUGACUCGUGAGGGAGCAGCUACGCUAGUCUACCAAAGUUUGGAUCUUCGAUGAAUCUCAGGCCUGACUGCUAAUUAGCUCGAUCGAUUUGCUUAAUUUUCCAUGCCUCUGUACGCAGGUCAAUGUGCUAUUCUGUAGUAUGCAUCCAUCUUGUUUCAUCUAGUUCAUACGGAACUUAAUUUUGGUUCCAAAUAAAUAGUGAAACCUGUUGAAAAACUCGUUUUUGGUAUCCAUCCAUCUUUUUCAGUGGGGGACGAGACGAGAGGUACUGCCUUAGCUUCUCGUUUAGUAGCUUGUGACUGCAUGAUUUUAGAAGUGGUUUGAACCUUGAUAACCAAUGGUUAACCAUUUCUAACUCUUUUAAUCUAAUGGUUAACCCAUUUUACCAUUUACAUGAAAUGGUUCAAAAGGUUAGAGUUCAGAACGUAAAUGGUUAACCAACUCCCAUUGUGACAUAAUAUGUACAGGAGUGGUGCUCUUUGUUUGACUCGCCGUCACAAUGCUCUCAAAUAGGUUGAUAGGUACACACAUGUAUUGGUUGUAACCCUAAAGAUGCUUUUUUUCUGUUGAGGCAUGCAUGUUGUGUGAAGCUGUUGUUGUGGCCAGUCUCUGUUUCCUGAAUGGUUUUGAUUGCUAUGGGCUUGAUUGAUCAGUUAGGCAUCAAUCAAAGCCGAACGUAGAAAUGUUGCAUGUGUGUGUGUGGCGCUACUAGGUACUAAGCUAAUUAUCUGAAUCCCUUCUGCAUAUAAAACUACAUGGGCUUCUGUAAUUUGUGUUGCUUGACCCCUAGGAAUGGUCACUCAACACUAGAGUUUAUGUGGCGAUGAUUUUCUUGCUUCCCCAGAUGCUAGCUACUGCUUGGCUAAGGAAUUAUAUAGGAAUAUAUCCUAUCUACCAUUCAGUUAUGGUUGUUGAACUGAUAGGAACAUAAUAAAUGCUGCUCUUGGUUCAGUAGUUUCUUAAAGUUCAAUUGUAUCAUUUUCCUUAGUCGAUAUUCUGUAGAUAUUGUCCCUGCUUGCUGUCUUUUAGCAACUCAUCCAGCUUUUAACUCUUGACACUUGCUAACUUAUUGCAGCUAUCUGUGGCCACGACUGCUGGUGCUUGCUGAUGCUCUUUUUGUGCAAGUGUGUGUAUUUGUCCGUUGGAGGAUAAUGAGGAGUACUAAAUUAUAGUUCUAGCCUUCUCCUCCGAUUCCAUGCUUUUGGUGGGCUUGGUUCGGUCGACUUAAUCAAUGCCAACCUUGAAGCUGGAGCUUGAGUUGUUAAACCAAAAUUCUUCUUGGGCUUGGAGUGGAAGCUGGCCAGCAAGGAGCCAUGGCCACCUGGUCUGGCGUGACCUAAACGUUAUGGCUUCGGUGGUGUUUCUGCUCUGCUAGUCGUCUCUACCACCUUGUGGGUGGGUGUAGGCCUAGCCAGCCCUUGGCUUCAACUACCUCGCUUUCCGCCUUGGCUCUUGCAACGAGCUCGCCAUGCUGCAACUGUGGUGGCAUUGAUGCUCUGCUUCGGCUACAACCUCCUCAGGGCUGGUACAUAGUGACGAUGAUGCGAUGGCUGGGAAGGAGAUUGGUGGCGGGCAACAUGCUGAUCGACCAAGUUGGGUUGGACAAUGGUGACGGACAAGUUCUAGUCUUUGUUGUGUGAUGAAGGUGUCAGGAACAUCGGAGAUCGCUGCAUUAGCACGGUGGAUGCAUUUUUUGUGGAUGCAUGUUAUGAUUCUGUAUUAGUUGCUUCAUAUUUUUUUAGCUGCACGUGUGAUUUGGAGUGUACGUACUAGGAAGUUCUGGUUCUUGUGAACAACAUGCUGUCAUUUGGAUUGUACAAGGCAGUUGUGGUUCGUGUCAAGUUUUGAUCCAUGAAACGGUAUGUGUUGUCAUGUGUAAUCUCUGAUGCCAAGUCAAUUAUAUUGCUUGCAAACAUGUUGUAUCUGGAAUUAAUCUAGCAAGCUGCUGAUGUCUUGUGUUU